UGGGGGAAUUUUGGACAAUGGGCGAAAGCCUGAUCCAGCAAUGCCGCGUGUGUGAAGAAGGCCUUCGGGUUGUAAAGCACUUUUGUCCGGAAAGAAAUCCUUGGCUCUAAUACAGUCGGGGGAUGACGGUACCGGAAGAAUAAGCACCGGCUAACUACGUGCCAGCAGCCGCGGUAAUACGUAGGGUGCAAGCGUUAAUCGGAAUUACUGGGCGUAAAGCGUGCGCAGGCGGUUUGCUAAGACCGAUGUGAAAUCCCCGGGCUCAACCUGGGAACUGCAUUGGUGACUGGCAGGCUAGAGUAUGGCAGAGGGGGGUAGAAUUCCACGUGUAGCAGUGAAAUGCGUAGAGAUGUGGAGGAAUACCGAUGGCGAAGGCAGCCCCCUGGGCCAAUACUGACGCUCAUGCACGAAAGCGUGGGGAGCAAACAGGAUUAGAUACCCUGGUAGUCCACGCCCUAAAAGCGAUGUCAACUAGUUGUUGGGGACUUCAUUUUCCUUAGUAACGUAGCUAACGCGUG
rnacentral:rRNA from 1 species